rnacentral:ncRNA from 1 species
UUCUUAUCCAGAGAGGUGGAGGGACUGGCCCGAUGAAGCCCGGCAACCGUCACGAAGUAGGUGACAAGGUGCCAAUUCCUGCAGGAUGUUUGCGUCCUGCAAGAUAAGAA